rnacentral:lncRNA from 1 species
UAUGAUAUCCAUGGGACAUCAUCUUCAUUAGGAAACCUUGUUUCAAGAGAUUUGGGAAGAUCAUAGGUGUCUAAACCAGACAUCUUUUGGGAGAUAUUCAAGAUAGUUGAUUUAAAGUCCUUAAUAUGACACCCAAUAUGAAAUAUUAAGGCUAGGACCCAACAAACUAUUUUAUAACUUAGAAGAGGUAUGCCGUAAUCCAAGCUAUAAAAUAUUUGAAGGUAGGUGAAUGACGAUUCACCAAUUUCCACCAAGAUAAACGAAAUGUAUUAUUAGGUUUUAAUUGGUUUUGAAACUCCUAGAUCUUUGAGAUUCAUUGAACUUUUCAAAGGCAUGUUUCAAUCUCGAGUGUGCCCUUCAGGUUUUGUGACUGGGAUGCCGAGGAUCACAAAACAAGGUGUGAAGUAACCAUGCAAAUCACUUGGUACCCUUAAUAAAUUACCCCUCAAUCGAUGUGCCGGUUAACCACACACGCUCCAUCGAUACUAUGAUAAAUAUUAAGUCACCCUUUACCUACCUUGUUAAGUCCAAGUUAGUGUGCCGGUUAACCACACACGCUCCACUAACGACUUAGACAAAGUGUAAAGUGUAAUUUCAUGGAUUAGCACCUUAUUCACAUUUUUCCUAAGUAACUAAGAUUGGGUAUUAUUAAGAGUUUAGUUACUUAGUAUUAUCAUUAAUACUUUUAAUGAAGGGAGAAUUCUAGUCCUGUCAAACCCGUUCGGCUAACGACCCUCCACCAGUCAAGCAAGCGGUGGGUGAGAGUGGACACCCAUUAAGUUGCCAUUUUAUAGGCAACAACCUUAUACCCACCUUAUAGACCGGCUUCGUGAAUGAGGCGUACUAGCGGUAAGACUGACUUUACUCUUAUACAUAUAUAUAUUAUUAACUUAUAAUAUUAUAAAGUAUAAGGGUUGAAUUUUAACUUUUAAAAUUCUAAGGGCUAACUUGGAAUUAAAGUAUUCAUAAGUGAAAACUUUUCAAAUUCCAAAACUUGAGGGCAAGUUUUGAAACUAUUCAAAACUAAUUAAUUCCAUAACUUAUGUGUUUAAAGUAGUUUUAAUCCAAAAACUCUUCAAGUUCCAUAACUUGAGGACAAGUUAUGGAAGACUUUAAACUAAUAAAAGAACUAACUUUUUCUUUAUUUUAUAACUUAUGGAUUUAAUUAUGGUUACAUAUUUUUCUUUAAUGAAGUGACUCUUGAACUUCCAUAACUUGAGGACAAGUUAUGGAGUCAUAAAAAAUUAUUCAAUGACACAAGACUCUUCAUUUUGUAACCAUUGCCAACUUUUAUGAAUUUUAUGAGUCUUUAAUGUGACUCUUCAUGUAACUUGAGGACAAGUUACACAAACACAUUUUAUACUCAACUCUUAGAUUAAAAUGGAUUGAAAACAACUAUUUCACUCAACAUUUCUAUUAAUCUAAGCAACUCAUAAGAACAAGAUAAUUCAAAUCAAACUUUUUCAUGUAAUUAGUCUAAACCUUAAACUAAUACAAAACAUGAAUCUAUUGACAAUUAUCUUUGAAAAUGGAUUAGCAUGAACAUUACCACAUCAAAAACAAGUUUACAAGUCCAAAACAUCUUAGGGUAAUGUUCUGAGUCCAAUUCCAGCCAAAAAAGUCGAAUUUAUGCUAGUCUGGGGGUCCAACUCGUCGAGUGCAUGAACAAACUCGGCGAGUUGGAUCGAAUUCAUCACUUUUUAGGCAUGGACUCGUCGAGUCUCCUGAUGGACUCGCCGAGUCUGAUGGCCAGACAGCACCAGAUUCGUUUUUUCAGCUUCUAUUGCAGGUAUAACAAGAAAACAAGCCUAGGCUCUGAUACCACUGUUGGGUUUUGAGCAUUCUAACACUCCUAAGUGUACAUGCAACCCUAAAUACCUUGGAUCUAUGUUUUCUCUAUUAUACAUGCAAAUAAGAACUUCCAAGGUAUUAUCCUAAUCUAGCAUACAAAACAAUGAAUAUAACAAGAUAGAAUACAUACCUCUUUGAUGUAGAAAGUCUUCAUGAAGCUUGAGUGCCUAGUGCCCCAAGUGUGACACCUCAAAUGGUUCACACAACACCAAAUACACAUGGAAUAACUUGAGAGAAACCCCACACUUCAUGAAAUCGGCUAGCCCUUCUAGUACACCCACUAGUGCCGAUUUUGGUGAAUAAUAUGAUGCUUAUAUAGUGUUACAAUUAGGGCAAACCCUAAUUGUCAUGACUUUCCAUUUCCUUGGAUCCAUGGGUACAAAUACACCAUGGAGCAUCCAUGGACCAUCCUAUGGGUUUUAGCCCAACUUGAUUAUCCAUGGAGCAUUAGCCCACUAUACAAGUAUGGAUGAUUUACACAAUCAACCCAUAUAUUUAAUUAGUCUUCUUUUGAUCACUUAAUUAAUCCUAGAUUAAUUCUUGAUCAAUACUAAUUAAAUAAUCUUAUUAUUCUUAUUAUUAAUAUACUAGAACUUAUAAUAUAUUAAUAACCAUAAGUGUCUUAUUUCUCUCAUUAUAGUCUAUCCAAGUGCAUGAUGCCAUGCAACCCAAAUGGACCAUGCCGGGUCGGGUCAAGUCUUACCAAUUAUAGUUAUGGACUUAGACAUUAAUCCAACAUCCUUUAUCUCCUUCCUAUUUAUCUCACCAAGUUACUCCUUUGACACAUCUCUCUUCUACGUCGGUGUCAUACCCCCAAACCGAAACAGUGGAAACGUUCAGGGGUGGAGGACAUCAUGUAUAAUGUAACACCCAAAAAUUCAAACUAAUUUAAACUUUUUAAAAACAUUUCAAACCAUUAAAAAUCAUUACAACUUUGUUUUUAAAAUGUAUAAUAUCAUAGUUUUUCCCAGAAACAUAGACAAAACAUGAGGAGCUGUCCGAUCACGCCUUCACCUUACCGCGAUCCCCUGAUGUACCUGAAACAAUAAACUUGAAACUGUAAGUCCGAGAGCUUAGUGAGUCCUCCCAAAAUACCCAUACACAUAUAAUCAUAAACAACAUACUAUGGGUCCAGUCAACCAUCAGGUUGGAAUACCCCAGGCCCUCAACCAUCCUGUUGGAAUGCCAACACACUAUGGGUCCAAUCAUCCUCAGGAUGGAAUACCCCAGGCCCACAACCAACAUGUUGGAAUGCCCACACACUAUGAGUCCAAUCAUCCUCGGGAUGGAAUGCUCACGGCCCAUAACCUAUAGGUUGGAAUGCCCAAGUCUAUUGGCCUUCGCAUAGAGCAGAUAAGCCUCAACCGCUAAACACACACAUGCACAUAUAACAGGUAAUCACAUACAGUUUAUAGACAAUACUUGAUCUAACGGAUCAUACCACACAUCAUACAAUAUUAUCCUACCCUCUUGGAUACCAAUCUAACAAAUCAUACUAGCAUAACAUAACCAUAUAACAAUCAAAGGGGCCGACCUUGGUGCCUUAGACCCUUGAGUAUUGUGAGGAAAACUUACCUCGCUACUGACAUCUGAAACUAGAAAGCUCAACUCCCAUAUUGCCAAUACGAACUCCACCACCUAUAGUUACCAUAAAACCCUUUUUCAUAAAUCUCCAAAUUACCAGAAUACCCUCAGAAGUCAACUGGUCAACUCUUGGUCAAAGUCAAAGUCCAGAGUCAAAGCCAACAUUCCAUGUUGACUCGACUCGUCGAGUGUAGUUCACCGACUCGUCGAGUCCUUCCUGAACUCGAGAAGUCGUGAAAUCCUUGAUUGGAUCGUCGAGUUCCCCUUUAACUCACCGAGUUCAUACGUGUCCAAGAAUUUAGGAGAAACCCUAGCUGACUCGCCGAGUCUUUGAAUGACUUGCCGAGUUCAAGGUAAUCUUCAACGCACUCGUCGAGUUUGUUCAUCAACUCGGCGAGUUCAUGACCAUUGUCAUAUGACUCACCGAGUUGACUAUGCAACUCACCGAGUCCUUGCAGACCUUCAUCGAUGCAGACAAUUUUUAAGCCAUGCAAAGGUUCCAGAUUACAAAUCCAAGCUUCUAAGGCAUGUUUAUCACAUAAAGCUGCAAACUUUACGCACAUGCAAGGCCCUAAAGGCUCUAAAUGACCAAUCUAUGCUUCUAAUGGAGGUUUACACCUUGGGAGAGUCUCAUCCUUGCAAGAGUUGGAAACUUUAUGGACUUAGGACUCAAAAGAGGUUCAGAUCUGAAGUUUCAACUUCAGAUUUGGCUCCUAUACCAAAAAUCCCUUCAUGAAUAACUAAAGAAAGCCCUAGAUUCCACAUAUGAAUGAUUCUAGAAGAAAAGAGGUUAAGGUAACAGCUGGUUACCUCCAAAAUGUGCCCACACUGAAGUAGAAUCUGGAUCCACAUAGAAGUCUUGAUGCUAGCCUCUUGGUCUACAAAUUUCCUUCCCAAAAGUCACUUCUCAAAGCCCCAAGACACUCUCCAAGCUCUCACUCACGGAAAUUAGGGUUUCUGGGUCUCAAGGGGUGAUGGAGGGCAGUGGGAGGCGCUAAUGGUCCAAUAUAUAGGGUGCAAAAACCCUGAAAAUUAGGGUUUCCACUUCCAGCUCCUACUCGUCGAGUCCCCCAUGCCGAAUAGGCGAGUCACUCAUUAAUUGACGUGUCCCGUCCCGCUGCUACUCGACGAGUCACAACUCAACUCGUCGAGUAGACUUUAGAACAUGAAAUUUAAAUGGAGUGAUAAUAAUACCUGAUUGUUGGGAUGUUACAAUUCUGCCCCACUUUACUUAGACUUCGCCCUCGAAGUCUAUUGUUAUAAAAUCCACGAUGACCCAUAUAGCAUCAAACCCCUUCACCGUCCUCGGCAAAUUGGUAAUAAAAUCCAUCGUGAUCUGUUCCCAUUUCCACAUGGGGAUCUCCAGAGGCUGUAACUUUCCAUGCGGCCUCUGAUGCUCUUCCUUGACUAUCCUACAUGUCAAGCACCUCUCGACGUACCAAGCGAUUUUUCGCUUCAUGCAUGGCCACCAAUAACUCAAACUCAAAUCCCGGUACAUCUUGGUGCCCCCUCGGGUGAAUAGAGUAAAGAGACUUAUGAGCCUCCUCCAUAACCGUCUGCCUAACCCCACCAGACAUCGGCACCCAAACCCGACCGCAUCGGGUCAAUAAUCCCCGACCAUCCUGCUCAAAUUGGGUAUUCUCACCCUUGAUCCUCUCUAACUUUGUAACACCGCUUUUUCUGGUAUUUAAUUUAAAUAAGUAUUUUCAUUUCUUAAGGGGUACUCGACGAGUCUGUAGCCCGAAUCAUCGAGUAGAGACGGGAUGAUCAUGCAAAUUGAGUUGGAUACUCGACGAGUCCAUAUGCUGGGACUCGGCGAGUCCACCUGUCUGGAUGAAGCCCUAAUUUUAAGGGUCUGCACCCUAUUUAAACACAUUUAUGCACCCUAACCUCGCCUCCAUCACCUUCAGAGAAUUUCUUAUCAAACCCUAGCCUCCUUAAAGACUGUGUGAGUGAUUGUUGCCUUGUGAAGGAACUUUUGGUGCAUUUUGGAGCAAGUAGAAGAAGGAGAAGGUUGAAGAGUUCAAGGAAGAAGAAGUAGAUCCGAAACACACUCCUUUGUGGUCAUCCUUUAUGGUAAUAAAGUCUCCAUCUUGCUUAUUGACCUUAUAGAUCUAGUUUGUCCCCAAAUGGUUGAUAUUAAGCUCAAAAACCCAAAAUCCUUGGUGAUAAAGCCUUAUGACCGAGUUAUACUUCAGAUCUGGACUCUUAUUGCAUUCUAGAAGUGUAAAGUUUCAGUUGUGGUCUUGAUUGAGGUCCCUCUUGAGCUUGGAACCCCAUUAAGAACUUAGAUUUGGCAUUUGAAGCCUUUAAAGCCAUGCAUGCACGUAAAGUUUGCAACUUUACGUGAUAAGCAUGCCCUAGAAGCUUGGAUCUAUGAUUUGGAGCCGCUUCAUGGCUCAAAUCAGGUAUGUAUGGAAAAAGGACUGAAUGGACUCGGCGAGUCAUAUGAAGAUAGCCGUGGACUCGAUGAGUUGGACAAGAAACUCGGCGAGUCGGAUGAGUUUUCUCGAUUAAAGUAGAGUUUGAGGGAAAUAACUUCAUUCCUUCUUAGUUACACGUGAAGUUAGCAACUUUACGUGUUCAGAUGGUCCCAGGAGCUUAGAUCUGCGAGUUAGAUGCUCUGGAAUGGAUUAGAAUCGAUUGUAUGGAAUCUGCAUGUUAGGACUUGGCGAGUUGUUCUUUGGACUCGACGAGUCGAGUCGCGAGUCCCACGUCUUUCUUCGAUUUGUGAGUUUAGGGUGAAUCAAUGAGUGGGAAAGGGACUCGGUGAGUUAAAGUCAGAGUUAGUAAUGGAGGGACUCGGCGAGUCUGCGCCCUGACUCAGCGAGUCCGGUCAACUGGAAGUUGACUUUGACUAGGGAGUUGACUUUGACCGGGGGUAGAAUAGUCAUUUACCCUGAGGGCAUUUAUAAGUACCUGAUCUAGUGUUUUUGGGAUUUGUAGCCGGACAGUUCUGGAGCAGUAGUCAACCACUUUCGGAGUUAGCAUCUNGGAUCCAUGGGUACAAAUACACCAUGGAGCAUCCAUGGACCAUCCUAUGGGUUUUAGCCCAACUUGAUUAUCCAUGGAGCAUUAGCCCACUAUACAAGUAUGGAUGAUUUACACAAUCAACCCAUAUAUUUAAUUAGUCUUCUUUUGAUCACUUAAUUAAUCCUAGAUUAAUUCUUGAUCAAUACUAAUUAAAUAAUCUUAUUAUUCUUAUUAUUAAUAUACUAGAACUUAUAAUAUAUUAAUAACCAUAAGUGUCUUAUUUCUCUCAUUAUAGUCUAUCCAAGUGCAUGAUGCCAUGCAACCCAAAUGGACCAUGCCGGGUCGGGUCAAGUCUUACCAAUUAUAGUUAUGGACUUAGACAUUAAUCCAACAUCCUUUAUCUCCUUCCUAUUUAUCUCACCAAGUUACUCCUUUGACACAUCUCUCUUCUACGUCGGUGUCAUACCCCCAAACCGAAACAGUGGAAACGUUCAGGGGUGGAGGACAUCAUGUAUAAUGUAACACCCAAAAAUUCAAACUAAUUUAAACUUUUUAAAAACAUUUCAAACCAUUAAAAAUCAUUACAACUUUGUUUUUAAAAUGUAUAAUAUCAUAGUUUUUCCCAGAAACAUAGACAAAACAUGAGGAGCUGUCCGAUCACGCCUUCACCUUACCGCGAUCCCCUGAUGUACCUGAAACAAUAAACUUGAAACUGUAAGUCCGAGAGCUUAGUGAGUCCUCCCAAAAUACCCAUACACAUAUAAUCAUAAACAACAUACUAUGGGUCCAGUCAACCAUCAGGUUGGAAUACCCCAGGCCCUCAACCAUCCUGUUGGAAUGCCAACACACUAUGGGUCCAAUCAUCCUCAGGAUGGAAUACCCCAGGCCCACAACCAACAUGUUGGAAUGCCCACACACUAUGAGUCCAAUCAUCCUCGGGAUGGAAUGCUCACGGCCCAUAACCUAUAGGUUGGAAUGCCCAAGUCUAUUGGCCUUCGCAUAGAGCAGAUAAGCCUCAACCGCUAAACACACACAUGCACAUAUAACAGGUAAUCACAUACAGUUUAUAGACAAUACUUGAUCUAACGGAUCAUACCACACAUCAUACAAUAUUAUCCUACCCUCUUGGAUACCAAUCUAACAAAUCAUACUAGCAUAACAUAACCAUAUAACAAUCAAAGGGGCCGACCUUGGUGCCUUAGACCCUUGAGUAUUGUGAGGAAAACUUACCUCGCUACUGACAUCUGAAACUAGAAAGCUCAACUCCCAUAUUGCCAAUACGAACUCCACCACCUAUAGUUACCAUAAAACCCUUUUUCAUAAAUCUCCAAAUUACCAGAAUACCCUCAGAAGUCAACUGGUCAACUCUUGGUCAAAGUCAAAGUCCAGAGUCAAAGCCAACAUUCCAUGUUGACUCGACUCGUCGAGUGUAGUUCACCGACUCGUCGAGUCCUUCCUGAACUCGAGAAGUCGUGAAAUCCUUGAUUGGAUCGUCGAGUUCCCCUUUAACUCACCGAGUUCAUACGUGUCCAAGAAUUUAGGAGAAACCCUAGCUGACUCGCCGAGUCUUUGAAUGACUUGCCGAGUUCAAGGUAAUCUUCAACGCACUCGUCGAGUUUGUUCAUCAACUCGGCGAGUUCAUGACCAUUGUCAUAUGACUCACCGAGUUGACUAUGCAACUCACCGAGUCCUUGCAGACCUUCAUCGAUGCAGACAAUUUUUAAGCCAUGCAAAGGUUCCAGAUUACAAAUCCAAGCUUCUAAGGCAUGUUUAUCACAUAAAGCUGCAAACUUUACGCACAUGCAAGGCCCUAAAGGCUCUAAAUGACCAAUCUAUGCUUCUAAUGGAGGUUUACACCUUGGGAGAGUCUCAUCCUUGCAAGAGUUGGAAACUUUAUGGACUUAGGACUCAAAAGAGGUUCAGAUCUGAAGUUUCAACUUCAGAUUUGGCUCCUAUACCAAAAAUCCCUUCAUGAAUAACUAAAGAAAGCCCUAGAUUCCACAUAUGAAUGAUUCUAGAAGAAAAGAGGUUAAGGUAACAGCUGGUUACCUCCAAAAUGUGCCCACACUGAAGUAGAAUCUGGAUCCACAUAGAAGUCUUGAUGCUAGCCUCUUGGUCUACAAAUUUCCUUCCCAAAAGUCACUUCUCAAAGCCCCAAGACACUCUCCAAGCUCUCACUCACGGAAAUUAGGGUUUCUGGGUCUCAAGGGGUGAUGGAGGGCAGUGGGAGGCGCUAAUGGUCCAAUAUAUAGGGUGCAAAAACCCUGAAAAUUAGGGUUUCCACUUCCAGCUCCUACUCGUCGAGUCCCCCAUGCCGAAUAGGCGAGUCACUCAUUAAUUGACGUGUCCCGUCCCGCUGCUACUCGACGAGUCACAACUCAACUCGUCGAGUAGACUUUAGAACAUGAAAUUUAAAUGGAGUGAUAAUAAUACCUGAUUGUUGGGAUGUUACAAUUCUGCCCCACUUUACUUAGACUUCGCCCUCGAAGUCUAUUGUUAUAAAAUCCACGAUGACCCAUAUAGCAUCAAACCCCUUCACCGUCCUCGGCAAAUUGGUAAUAAAAUCCAUCGUGAUCUGUUCCCAUUUCCACAUGGGGAUCUCCAGAGGCUGUAACUUUCCAUGCGGCCUCUGAUGCUCUUCCUUGACUAUCCUACAUGUCAAGCACCUCUCGACGUACCAAGCGAUUUUUCGCUUCAUGCAUGGCCACCAAUAACUCAAACUCAAAUCCCGGUACAUCUUGGUGCCCCCUCGGGUGAAUAGAGUAAAGAGACUUAUGAGCCUCCUCCAUAACCGUCUGCCUAACCCCACCAGACAUCGGCACCCAAACCCGACCGCAUCGGGUCAAUAAUCCCCGACCAUCCUGCUCAAAUUGGGUAUUCUCACCCUUGAUCCUCUCUAACUUUGUAACACCGCUUUUUCUGGUAUUUAAUUUAAAUAAGUAUUUUCAUUUCUUAAGGGGUACUCGACGAGUCUGUAGCCCGAAUCAUCGAGUAGAGACGGGAUGAUCAUGCAAAUUGAGUUGGAUACUCGACGAGUCCAUAUGCUGGGACUCGGCGAGUCCACCUGUCUGGAUGAAGCCCUAAUUUUAAGGGUCUGCACCCUAUUUAAACACAUUUAUGCACCCUAACCUCGCCUCCAUCACCUUCAGAGAAUUUCUUAUCAAACCCUAGCCUCCUUAAAGACUGUGUGAGUGAUUGUUGCCUUGUGAAGGAACUUUUGGUGCAUUUUGGAGCAAGUAGAAGAAGGAGAAGGUUGAAGAGUUCAAGGAAGAAGAAGUAGAUCCGAAACACACUCCUUUGUGGUCAUCCUUUAUGGUAAUAAAGUCUCCAUCUUGCUUAUUGACCUUAUAGAUCUAGUUUGUCCCCAAAUGGUUGAUAUUAAGCUCAAAAACCCAAAAUCCUUGGUGAUAAAGCCUUAUGACCGAGUUAUACUUCAGAUCUGGACUCUUAUUGCAUUCUAGAAGUGUAAAGUUUCAGUUGUGGUCUUGAUUGAGGUCCCUCUUGAGCUUGGAACCCCAUUAAGAACUUAGAUUUGGCAUUUGAAGCCUUUAAAGCCAUGCAUGCACGUAAAGUUUGCAACUUUACGUGAUAAGCAUGCCCUAGAAGCUUGGAUCUAUGAUUUGGAGCCGCUUCAUGGCUCAAAUCAGGUAUGUAUGGAAAAAGGACUGAAUGGACUCGGCGAGUCAUAUGAAGAUAGCCGUGGACUCGAUGAGUUGGACAAGAAACUCGGCGAGUCGGAUGAGUUUUCUCGAUUAAAGUAGAGUUUGAGGGAAAUAACUUCAUUCCUUCUUAGUUACACGUGAAGUUAGCAACUUUACGUGUUCAGAUGGUCCCAGGAGCUUAGAUCUGCGAGUUAGAUGCUCUGGAAUGGAUUAGAAUCGAUUGUAUGGAAUCUGCAUGUUAGGACUUGGCGAGUUGUUCUUUGGACUCGACGAGUCGAGUCGCGAGUCCCACGUCUUUCUUCGAUUUGUGAGUUUAGGGUGAAUCAAUGAGUGGGAAAGGGACUCGGUGAGUUAAAGUCAGAGUUAGUAAUGGAGGGACUCGGCGAGUCUGCGCCCUGACUCAGCGAGUCCGGUCAACUGGAAGUUGACUUUGACUAGGGAGUUGACUUUGACCGGGGGUAGAAUAGUCAUUUACCCUGAGGGCAUUUAUAAGUACCUGAUCUAGUGUUUUUGGGAUUUGUAGCCGGACAGUUCUGGAGCAGUAGUCAACCACUUUCGGAGUUAGCAUCUCAGCAGCCAGCAGUACGAGGUGAGUUUCCUUCAGGUAGGAACGGGUCUACGGCUACAAUGCCGAAACGUUUAGUUAGCAGUAGUACCAGACUUUGGUCCGAUGCAGUAGUUUAGUAUGCUUGAUGUCUUUGUGAUUCAAGCAUGUCUUUAUGCUAUGUGUUCCAGACUUUGGUCCGAUGAGAUAUGCAGUAUAUGCUAGUUGAUAUGUGUAUGCUAUAUUACGCUCAGUCAGUUUCCGGACUUCGGUCCGAUGCAGGGGACAUGGUCCCGGUCAGUUCCGGAUUUCGGUCCGAUGCAGUUAGUUUCGGACUUCGGUUCGAUGCAGGGGACACGGUCCCAGUUAGUUCUGGACUUCGGUCCGAUGUAGAGGGAAAGACCCCGGUUAGUUCCGGACUUCGGUCUGAUGUAGUUUCCGGACUUCGGUCCGAUGCAGUGGGCAAAGCCCAAUAGUUUUUUAUGUGUUGUUGUAUGGUAUGUGGUAGUUUUUUUUAGGGGGGGGGGGAGCUCACUAAGCUUCGUGCUUACAGUUUUCAGUUUUGGUUUUAGGUACUUCCGCUAACAAAGGGAAGAGCUCGGGAUGAUGGCAUUGCACACACCACAGCUUCAGCUUUUAUCAUGGGAGUGUAUUUCAGAUGCUAUGAUAUGUUGAUACAAUUCUUUUGUCAUGACACAUCUAUUAUAACUUUUUGAGAUUUAUGACGUACGGUUUCAUUAUAUAUUAUGGAUGAUUGUUAGCUUUUAGUACUAUUUAAACAAAAAUUUUUGGGUUGUAUUUUGGGUCGUUUCAAGCUUCUAGUUCUCCGGUCGCAUGCCCUCAACCUGGUCAUCUCUAAUCAAACUCACAAGCGGAGAGUCCACUGUUAUCCUCAUACAUACCGCUGGGGUGGAAGACCCAGCUGACUUGCGGAUCAAGGCAUCCGCAACCACAUUCGCUUUACCAGGAUGGUAAAGGAUCUCGCAGUCGUAGUCUUUGACUAUGUCCAGCCACCUGCGCUGCCUCAUGUUCAGGUUUGGCUGAUCCAAGAUGUGUCUCAAACUCUUGUGAUCCAUGUAAAUGGUACAUCGUACCCCAUAAAGGUAUUGUCUCCAUAUCUUGAGGGUGAAUAGCACCACCCCAGCUCCAAGUCAUGCAUAGGGUAUCUCGUCUCAUGCGGCUUCAAUUACCACGACACAUAAGCUAUCACUCGUCCCCUAUGCAUGAGGACCGCCCUAACUCUGUGAUGGAUGCAUCACAGAACACCACAAAAUCCUCAACUCCCUCCGGGAGUGUCAAGACUGGGGCCUCGCACAAUCGCUGUUGGAGGGUCUCAAAUGCCCUCUGCUGCUCAGGGCCCCACCGGAAAUCCACCCCCUUCCUCGUCAGACGAGUGAGGGGUACCGCAAUCUUGGAGAAGUCCUGUAUGAAUCUCCGGUAGUACCCUGCCAAUCCCAAAAAGCUUCUGAUGUCUGAGGGAGAUUUCGGAACCUCCCAUUACAUAACCGCCUCGAUUUUGGCCGGAUCGACCAAAAUCCCCUCCUGGUUAACGCGAUGUCCGAGGAACUGGACGUCUCGUAGCCAAAACUCACACUUCGAGAACUUGGUGUACAACCGUUCUCGUCUCAAAACUCCCAACAACUCCCGCAGAUGCUCCUCAUGUUGCUCUCGGGUCUUGGAAUACACCAAGAUAUCAUCUAUAAACACUAUGACCGAGCGAUCGAGCAUCGGUCUACAGACCCGAUUCAUCAGGUCCAUGAACACUGCCGGCAUGUUGGUGAGACCAAACAGCAUCACCAUGAACUCGUAAUGUCCAUAACGAGUUCGAAAUGCGGUCUUCUCCACAUCCUCCUCUCUGACCUUGACUUGAUGAUACCCAGAUCUCAAGUCUAUCUUGGAAAACCAAGAUGCACCCUGUAACUGAUCAAAUAGAUCGUCUAUCCUCGGGAGUGGGUAAUGGUUAUUCACCGUUAACUUAUUCAACUCCCAGUAAUAAAUGCACAUCCAGUGCGAACCGUCCUUCUUUCGGACAAAAAGAAUCGGUGCUCCCCAUGGAGAACUACUAGGUAGAAUGAACUGCUUGCCCAACAGUUCCUGUAGCUGUGACGACAGCUCCUACAUCUCUGGUGGUGCCAAUCGGUAUGGCGCCUUAGCGAUAGGGACCACACCUAGCACCAACUCGAUCCUGAACUCGACCUGCCUCUCCAGAGGUACUCCGGGUAAUUCCUCCGGGAACACAUCAACAAACUCUCUAACUACCGGAACCUCUGAAAACCGAUGUCUGAUCUCUCACCCGCGUAUCUACCACAUACGCUAGAUAACCCGCACACCCGUGAUGAAUGUACUGCCAAGCUCUGGCAGCUAAACAAAACCCUGAUCCCACUCUGGUUCUCUCGCCAUAUACAAUCAGUUCUCCCCCACUUGGGGUUCGAACUACCACACGCUGACCCUCACAAUCAAUCAUAACACUGAACCGACUGAGCCAAUCCAUGCCUACAAUCACGCACACCUCCCACAUGGGGAUCAGAAUCAAAUCUAUCGAAAAGGACACUCCAAAAAUCUCCAAAUAACACCCUCGAUAGACCGCAGAAGCAGAAACCCUGUGUUCGUUGGCGAUAAACACUCGCAACGGAUACUCUAACUCGCAUACUGGCACACUAAACUCCCUGCUAAAUAACUGAGAUACGAAGGACUGACUCGCCCCCGAGUCAAAUAAAACCAAAGCAGGCAAAGAGUUCACUAGGAACAUACCUAAUCUCAAGUAUAACAGAUAAGCAUACAACAAAUAUAAUCAAUGGGAGUAAGGAUAGAAACAUACCAGCACCACAUCCGGUGCUGCCCUAGCCUCCUCGGUUGUAAGCUGGAAGGCACGACCCUGCGCCUUCGGAGGCUCUGCCCUGAUUGGUCUCCCAUCCGUAAUCCUCAAGGUAGUUGGCACUGGAGCCUGCGCUGGCUUGGCGGCUAGUAGAGGACAUUGGGCCUUCAUAUGGCCCACCUACUCACAAUGAUAGCAAAGCUUGACUCCAGAAGUCGGAGUCGGCUGCCUGCAGUCCUUGGCCAAAUGGCCCUGCUUGCCACAUCGGUGGCACCAACUCCCUGUCCGACACAUCCCUAAAUGAGCCUUCCCUCAAUCCCCACAAGUGCGGACUGGCUGUCCCCCAGUCCUCGUAUCAGCGGUCUUGGACCGCUUUGGCGCCGCCUGGGACUAUGCCUGGGCCUGCCGCUGCUCCCUCAACUGCAGCUCAAUCUCCAACUCACGCCGCCUAGCGGCCUUUUGCAACUCCAGAAGUGUAUCACAUCGCUGGGUAGACACAAACUGACGAAUGUCGGUCUUGAGCAUGCUCAGAUAUCGGGUCAUCUGAGCCUGCUCGGAAGCAAACUCCGGGAAAACAUCGCCCUCUCAGUGAACAUACGGGUGAUCGCCGUCACCUACUCCCCAUCGUGUCUCAAACUCAGAAACUCCUGUGCUAACGGGUCCCGCUCGAACCACAGAAUGUAACGGGCGCAGAACAUGUCUCUGAACUGCUCCCAAGUAACAGCAUCUCUCUGGUCAUCAAUGUACGACCCGGUCGCAAGUCUCCACCAGUCCUUGGCCCUGGACCUUAGCAGGUUCAGAGCACACGUGACCUUCUGGUCAGUAGGACAUGAGCAGGUGAACAAACACCCGUCCACAUCCGAGAUCCACCUUAUAGCCUUGAUGGGAUCAUGCGUCCCAUAAAAAGUAGGGGGCUUCGUGUUGUCGAAGUCCCUGUACUGAAAAACUCGCCCCGCUCCCCCUCCUGCCGCUGUUACAGCCAUGGUGGCUGCAGCGGCAGCUGUCUCAGCGAGAGCUACAUAUCUGUCGUCAAAAUACUCCAUCAUGGCGGACUUAAUAGUCCCAAACAACUCCGAAAUCUGACCCCGGACAAUCUCGACUACCUCCUCGCGGAUGAUCUCCCUGACCCGGUCCUCUGUCAACAUUGGCCCCUCCUGGACGAUAACCUCAGGUGCCCCUGGGGUCUCCUGAUCACCCUGUCCUAAUCCGGAACCCAACGUAAAACGCCUCGUAAUUGCCAUUCUGAAACAUAACAGGAAGAUAUCAGACAAUCCGCAUAAAUACCUGGGAACCAACUCCCUACUAAUCCCUAGGGGUUGUGACUUCCUUGCUACGCGUAUGGGUCAUGUGCUUUCAGUAGUACGUGCCCAUACUACCUUCCACACCUACCCAUAUUUGCCUCAAGUAUCACGAAAACACCCUAACAACAUACAUAGCAUAGAGGACACUCAAUCCUCAAUCCUAGAGGGAAGAUAACCACCUCACGACUGACCUACCGGUUCCCAACAACUCACUCAUUCAUGAAACUUCCACCAACCCCGCAACGCUAUUGUAUGCUAGCCAUCCAUAACGCCGGACCCUAUAGAAUUUCGAAUAUCCAAUCCUACCCUAAGCUCCCAAUCAAACUAGAACAAAACAUAAGGCUAAAUCAAACAUUAUCAAGCUAUAAGAUCUUAAUUAUGGACAGUCGUGAUGCAUACACUAAGCAACUACAGUAAUGAUGCCAAUUUCAUAUAAGGAAACCCUAGGCUACUAGGCAUCAUAUAAUCAAACAAUUUUAUCAUGCAAUUCCUAAAGAUUCCUAGCCUAGUACUAGCAUGUUGUUCUAUCAUAUCACAUAACCAAAUAGAGGUAUGGUAUUUUGGGGCUACUUACUAGCUCCAGCUGAUCGUACAUCUUGCGUCCUCAUUUACUUAUUUUGAAAACCAUUUUAGAAAUCAUUUUGAAAGCCUUUCCUUGAUUUGAGAUUGGAUUAACAUGCAUGUUCCUCUAAUUCACUCAAACCAAGGCUCUGAUACCAACUUGCAACACCCAUAAAUUCAAACUAAUUUAAACAUUUAAAAACAUUUCAAACCAUUAAAAAUCAUUACAACUUUGUUUUCAAAAUGUAUAAUAUCAGAGUUUUUCCUAGAACCAUAGACAAAACAUGAGGAGCUGUACGAUCACGCCUUCGCCUUACCAAGAUCCCCUGAUGUACCUGAAAUAAUAAACUUGAAAUUGUAAGCCCGAGAGCUUAGUGAGUCCUCCCAAAAUACCCAUACCCACAUCCAUACACAUAUAAUCAUAAACAACAUACUAUGGGUCCAGUCAACCAUCAGGUUGGAAUACCCUAGGCCCUCAAUCACCCGGUUGGAAUGCCAACACACUAUGGGUCCAAUCAUCCUCAGGAUGGAAUACCCCAGGCCCAUAACCAACAGGUUGGAAUGCCCACACACCAUGAGUCCAAUCAUCCUUGGGAUGGAAUGCUCACGGCCCAUAAACUAUAGGUUGGAAUGCCCAGGUCUAUUGGCCUUCGCACAGAGCAGAUAAGCCUCAACCGCUAAACACACACGUACACAUAUAACAGGUAAUCACAUACAGUCUAUACACAAUACUUGAUCUAACAGAUCAUACCACACAUCAUACAAUAUUAUCCUGCCCUCUAGGAUACCAAUCUAACAAAUCAUACUAGCAUAACAUAACCAUAUAACAAUCAAAGGGGCCAACCUUGGUGCCUUAGACCCUUGAGUAUUGUGAGGAAAACUCACCUCGCUACUAACAUCUGAAACUAGAAAGCUCAACUCCCGGAUUGCCAACACGAACUUCACCACCUAUAGUUACCAUAAAACCCUUUUUCAUAAAUCUCCAAAUUACCAGAAUACCCUCAGAAGUCAACUGGUCAACUCUUGGUCAAAGUCAAAGUCCAGAGUCAAAGCCAACAUUCCAUGUUGACUCGACUCGUCGAGGGUAGUUCACCGACUCGUCGAGUCCUUCUUGAACUCGAGAAGUCGUGAAAUCCUUGAUUGGCUCGUCGAUUUCCCCUUUAACUCGCCGAGUUCAUACGUGUCCAAGAAUUUGGGAGAAACCCUAGCUGACUCGCCGAGUCUUCGAACGACUUGCCGAGUUCAAGGCAAUCUUCAACGGACUCGUCGAGUUUGUUCAUCAACUCGGCGAGUUCAUGACCAUCGUCAUAUGACUCACCGAGUUGACUAUGCAACUCGCCGAGUCCUUGCAGACCUUCAUCCAUGCAGACACUUUUUAAGCCAUGCAAAGGUUCCAGAUUAUAAAUCCAAGCUUCUAAGGCAUGUUUAUCAUGUAAAGUUGCAAACUUUACGCACAUGCAAGGCCCUAAAGGCUCUAAAUGACCAAUCUAUGCUUCUAAUGGAGGUUUACACCUUGGGAGAGUCUCAUCCUUGCAAGAGUUGGAAACUUUAUGGACUUAGGACUCAGAAGAGGUCCAGAUAUGAAGUUUCAACUUUAGAUUUGGCUCCCAUACCAAAAAUUCCCUUCAUGAAUAACUAAAGAAAGCCCUAGAUUCCACAUAUGAAUGAUUCUAGAAGAAAAGAGGUUAAGGUAACAACUGGUUACCUCCAAAAUGUGCCCACACUGAAGUAGAAUCUGGAUCCACAUAGAAGUCUUCAUGCUAGCCUCUUGAUCUACAAAUCUCCUUCCCAAAAGUCAUUUCUCAAAGCCCCAAGACACUCUCCAUGCUCUCACUCACAGAAAUUAGGGUUUCUGGGUCUCAAGGGGUGAUGGAGGGCAGUGGGAGGCGCUAAUGGUCCAAUAUAUAGGGUGCAAAAACCCUGAAAAUUAGGGUUUCCACUUCCAGCUCCUACUCGCCGAGUCCCCCAUGCUGAAUAGGCGAGUCACUCAUUAAUUGACGUGUCCCGUCCCGCUACUACUCGACGAGUCACAGCGUCAACUCGUCGAGUAGACUUUAGAACAUGAAAUUUAAAUGGAGUGAUAAUAAUACCUGACGGUUGGGAUGUUACAAUUCUGCCCUACUUUACUUAGACUUCGUCCUUGAAGUCUAUUGUAAUGAAUACCUUCGGGUAAUACUCCCGCAUCUUAGCCUCCGACUCCCAUGUCCACUCGGAUCCCCUCCGAUGCUCCCAUUAUAUCUUCACUAACGGAACCUCCUUGUUUCAUAGGACUUUCACUUUCCUUUCCAAAACGGCAAUCGGCUUUAGGUACUCAUCUACAUGAAUUUCGUCCAAUGGCACAACUUCCUCCUGGUCUACAAUUCACUUCCGCAACUGCGAAACGUGGAAAGUACUUUGGAUCCGACUAAGCUCCUCCAACAGCUCUAACCUGUAAGCCACCUUGCCAACACUGGAAAUGAUCCUGAACGGACCAAUAUAGCGGCAACCCAAUUUUCUCCUCUUCCUGAAGCAGAUCACACCCUUCCAGGGCGAGACCUUCAAGAGUACCAUAUCGUCGACCUGAAUCUCUAACUCAGAUCGGCGUCGGUCAGCGUACCUUUUCUGCUGACUCUGAGCAGUCUGCAACCACUGUCUAACCUACUGGAUCUUCUCGCUAGUCUACAAAACUACCUCCGUCCGACCCAUCACCCUGUGACCAACCUCACCCCCACAUACCGGGGUGCGACAUCUCCGCCCGUACAACAGCUCGAAUGGCGGGGCACCAAUGCUGGAAUGAUAGCUAUUGUUGUAGGCAAACUCUACAAGCUGUAGGUGGGAAUCCCAACUCCCACUGAAAUCAAUGACACAUGCCCUCAACAUAUCCUUGAGGGUCUGAAUGGUCCGCUCGCUUUGACCAUCAGUCUGUGGAUGGAAUGUUGUGCUGAAGUGCAACCGUGUGCCCAACUCCUUGUGAAACUUCUGCCAGAACGGUUUUGGCCGUAAACAUCGGGAUGAACGAGACUUGGCUGAUUUUCGAAGAAAAAGUUGAUUUUUCGCACGAUUAUAGUCCCGAUACUUAUAUAAAUUUAAUUUAUAUAAUCUAAGUUUUUUUCAAACCUUAAGAGCUUGACAAAAUUAACAAAAUAAAUAAAAUUCGAAAUUUUUUUAUUUAAUGAGAUUUGACUUUCGUUGACUGAAAAAGGUUCGAGUUGUCAUAUCAUCCCCCGAUAGAGGGAAUAUACAAUUAUGGACUAGGGAAAGAGAUGCGGAUACUUCUGUUGCAUCUAGUCUUCGCGCUCCCAAGUGAAUUUGGGUCCCCGCUUGGCAUUCCAGCGAACCUUCACUAUCGGGAUGCGACUUUGUUUCGUUCGCUUGACUUCCCUAUCCAUGAUUUCGACUGGCUCUUCCAUGAAGUUAAGACUCUCAUUGACCUCGAUUUCAUCGAGUGGAAUUACAAGAGUCGCGUCGGAUAGACACUUUUUGGGGUUUGACACGUGGAAGACGGGAUGUAUGUUGCUAAGCUCUUGUGGUAAACAGAGUUUGUAAGCUACAAGGCCGAUCCUAGUGAGGGUCUCGAAUGGCCCAAUGUAUCUUGGAUUUAGCUUUUCAUGCUUUCCGAAGCGUAUCAUGCCUUUCGAGGGUGAGACCUUUAACAGAACGCGGUCACCAACGUGGAACUCCAAGGUUUUUCGUCUCUUAUUGGCGUAGCUCUUUUGUCCAUCUCUUGAAGCCUUUAGUCGUUCCCUAAUUUGUACGGUCUUUUCUGUGGUUUCUCGGAUGAUUUAUGGGCCAGUGAGAGUGCUAUCAGGGACUUGACCUUUUGCUAGCUGCGUGUCACCCACCUCAGCCCAGCACAUAGGAGAUCUGCACUUACGGCCAUAGAGGGCUUCAAAUGGAGCAACCUUGAUGCUAGUGUGAUAGCUGUUGUUGUAAGAGAACUCGACCAAUAGCAAGUGUGUAUCCCACGACUUUCCAAAAUCGAUAACGCAAGCUCUCAGCAUGUCUUCUAGGGUUUGAAUGGUUCUCUCACUCUGCCCGUCGAUCUGCAGAUGGUAAGUUGUGCUCUUAUCCAACUUAGUUCCAAGAGCAUUCUUCAAUGACUGCCAAAAUCUCGAGGUGAAUCUGCUAUCUUGAUCAGAGAUAAUGGACACAGGCAUACCAUGCAGUCAAAUUAUCUCUUGGAUGUACAUUCAGGUCAGUCUCUCCAUUUUGUAUGUUUCUUUGAUUGGCAGGAUGUAACAGCCCGGAUUCCCAGGUAUUAUUCAUUUAUUUAUUUUGGUAAUUUGUGAGGAGACUCGGCGAGUUGGAGCCUAGACUCGCCGAGUAUGAUCGCGGAUUUGGACGCGGGUUCGCGUCCGGACUCGGCGAGUCCAAGAGUGGACUCGGCGAGUCCACGCUGUUUAAUGAAACCCUAAUUUCUCGGGUUUGAGGCAUAUUUAAAGGGCCUUAUGGCCGUCAUUUGCACUCAUCAGUCCCCAGAGUGAAACCCUAGAGCAAUUGAGUGAUUCAAGUGAGGGAAGGAGCCAUUAUUGAUCUUGGAGUUGUUGUCUAGCAAGGAAAGAGGAGAUCUAGCCAAGAGGAAGCAAGAGAGGGGUGGAUUCUUGAAGAUUUGAGGUCCAGAACAUCACAACUGAGGUACAAUCUCGAAUCAUUCUCUGUUAUUGUGAUGUUCAUGUAGAUUUAGGGCUUUUGAACCCAUUUGUGGCUAGAUCUAGUGUCCUCAUGGUCCCAUAGCGAGUUAAGGUCCUGGAUCUGGACCCAUAGAGGUCCAGAGCACCUCAUUGCCAAAGCUUUAUAUGCAUCCAUGGAGGUUUUGGCUUGGGAUCAAUGUAUUUGAGGCUAAAACACCAUUCAUGAGCUAUUCAAUGCUUGAUGAGCAUCAAGACUUGGACUUUACGUGGUCAAUAAGCUUAAGGAGACUGGAUCUAUGAGUUAGUGAAGCGGAUCUGACCUCAGAAGGUCGUUUGGGGUUGUGCAUGGAAUGCACUCGCCGAGUCCAUUCCCCAGACUCGGCGAGUUGGUGCGGGUUGUUCAACGAUUACGAACCAGGGGUUGAGUAACCGAGUCGGGUGAGUGACUCGGUGAGUCGGAAGAGAUUCAGAGGGAUCGGGUUCCCGUAGGAACUCGGCGAGUCGGGUUGACCGUUAACCGUUGACCGUUGACCAGUGUUGACUGGUUUGACUUCGUGGUAUUAGUCAGCCAGAGUCAAGUAGUAUUAAGUAGAAAUACGCUUGUGUUGUAGGAGGACGAUAGCUCGGGAGAUCGAGCACUAGUGGUUAAGAGAUUUACGAGUUACCGAGACACGCGAGGUGAGUCUUCUCACUAUACGUUACCUUGAGUGGUAUUCUGGGUUGGCCAGAGGGUCUUAUGUGCUAUUUAUGAGAUUGUAUGCUAUGUGUUAUUUGUAUGCUGUAUGACUAUAUAGACCGGACCGGAGGGUCCAACGAUUCAGAACGGGCCAGAGGGCCCAAUGAGCUAUGACUGGACCAGAGGGUCCGACGAUCUGCGGGACUGGAGGGUCCCGCUGAGACAUCUUGACCAGAGGGUCGGGUUUAGCCUCGAGUGGCGUAUUUGUGGUAUGUGGUAUUUUGGGGAACUCACUAAGCAUUAUGCUUACAGUUGUUGUGUUUGAUGUCUCAGGUACCAGCGAGGACCGUGGGAAGGCGGCGGCUUGACUCGUACACACUCACACCGAUGGAGUUCACAUUUGAGAGAUCUUGGGAAUUUGUUUUGAAAACACAGUUGUUUCAGAUUUGAAAUUAUGAUAUGAUAUACAUUUGGUGGUUUUAAAAAUUAAAAAUUAAAUUGGAAUUUUACGUUGUUACAAGUUGGUAUUAGAGCCUAGGUUUUAGGGAUUCAGAUGCACCUUCGAGUGUAUUUGAACUCAAACCGAGGAUUUGAGAAAUUUUACAACCAAAACUGCAAAUUUUCUAAAAAGAAAAAGAAUUUUUGGAAAUGAGCAGUGUGGAUGGUGUGUACGGUCAGCCAGCGCCCGAACGGUGAAUCCCCAAAAUACCCUUACAUUAUAUGUUAUGAGUUAUGAGAUAUUAUUUUAUGCAUGAUAGAGAGGCUAGGUAUUCCUAUAAGGACUAGAGUGGCCUGAUUUGUGAUGCCUUAGCCUAGGAGAUUACUGCUGCUAUGAGAUACUUUGAGAGUGAGUAGGUAGCAGUGAGGAGCUCAUGAUAGGUCUACUGAGGGUAGCCAAUGCAUAGCGAGAGUAGAGUAUUUACGACUUGGGAUCCUAGGAGGAGGACUUGGAUUGUAUAUUGAUUCGAUGUGGACAAUAGUAUUGGGCCCGUACUAUUGAAAACACCGGAUUGGUGCGCAGUCCAAGUAAGAAUCCUUGGGGGUACCAGGAGUGAGGAUGUUUGAGUUAUCGAGCAUGAGAAUACUCGAGAGUAUCCCUGAUAUUUCUUAUGUUGUGUUUUAGAGGUUGAUCAUGGUCGGGACACGCCAUAACCCCGAGAGCAGUGGGGUGAGCGACGAGGAGAUCCGUCGGAUCAUCCAUGAGGAGGUGGCUGCUGCCAUCAGAGCCGAGAUUCCAGAGAUGUUUGGGUCUAUUAAGACCACACUGAUCGAGACGUUUGACGAUCGUUAUGCUACCUUGGCUGAUGCUGUUGCUGUUGCUGCUUCAGCCACAACAGCUGUUGCUGCUGUAAGACCCCAGGGUGGUGAUUCGUUGCUGUACCGAGAGUUCAGCAACACGAAACCACCAGAGUUCGAUGGUACGCAGGACCCGAUCGCCGCAAUGAGGUGGAUCUCAGACAUGGAGGGGUGUUUCUAUACGUGCUCGUGUUCGGAGCACUUGAGAGUGCAAUUUGCACUCAACCAGCUUCGCUUGGGGGUGAAGGACUGGUGGAAAUUCGUGACCGCGAGCUAUUCUACAGCUGAGCUGACUGCAGUGACCUAGGAGAGGUUUACUACGAUGUUUCGUGACGAGUAUGUUCCCCAGGUGGAGAGGGAACGUUUAGCUCAGGAGUUUCUGACCCUCAAUCAGGGGACAGAGUUGGUGACAAUGAUUACGAGGAUGUUUCAUGAGCGGGCGCUGUUUUGCCCGGAGUUGGUGUCCACUGAGCAGGCUCGCAUGAGCCGUUAUCUGAGUAUUUUGAGAAGGGACAUCUGUGAGUUCGUGGCAAACUCGACUUACCAGACAUUUGCUGAGCUCCAGGCAAAUGCCAGGAAGAGGGAGAUCGAGCUUGAGACAAUGGCGAGGGAGGAGACUGAGUUGCAGAGGGGUGAUCGACGACCGGCGCAAUCGCAGUCGGCCGCCAAGCGGGCAAAGCCCGCUGAUUCGAGGACGGGCAGUUCGAGGGGCCGCACUUAUGGGAAGUGCGGAAAGAGCCAUGAUGGGCCGUGCAAGACUGGGGUAUGCUACAAAUGCGGGAAGGAAGGACAUUUUGCGAGGGACUGCCCGAAGGGGUUCUCGGUUUGCUUUCAUUGCAACCAGACCGGCCAUCGGAAGGCCGAGUGCCCCUAGCUUCAGAGGUCAGCACAGGGAUCUGCACCUGCGGUUCGAGCUGCUGAGACCCGGCCAAUGAAGGCCGAAGCACCGAAGGCUAGGGGGAGAGCCUUCCAGCUGACUGCGGAGGAGGUCCGCGCAGCACCUGACGUCGUGGCGGGUAUGUAAUCUUUAUCUAUUUUAUGUUGAGUUUAUGCUAUUGUAAUUGCUAUAUGUUAUGCGUAGGUACUUUUCUUGUGAGUUCUGUACCUGCAUUGGUUUUAUUCGACUCGGGUGCGAGUCGGUCUUUCAUAUCUUUGGCUUUUAGUCGGCACAUUAGUAUUCCGAGGGAGGCGUUGAGUCGACCUCUGCGGGUUUCCAUAGCAGAUGAGCGUGAGGUAUGUGCUACCGAGGUGAUACGUGGAUGCAUGCUGGAGAUCUUCGGGGUGGAGUUCCCGAUUGAUUUGAUUCCGAUCGCUAUGGGGGAUGUUUGUGUCAUAGUAGGAAUGGAUUGGUUGAGCCGUUUUGGGGCUGUCAUAGAUUGCGAGCGUCAAUUGGUGACGAUCCGAGAUCCUAGUGGGGGAGCGCUGACGGUUUACGGCGAGGGGACUCGUGGUGGUUCGGUUUUCUGUUCGGCCGCUAGAGCGAGGCGGAGUUUGCAGCAGGGCUGCAAGGGGUUCGUAGCCUAUGUGACAGAUGUGCGAGAGGCCGCUGGGAGGCCAAGUUCAGUGGAUGAGGUGCCGAUAGUGCGUGAGUUCCCGGACGUGUUUCCCGAGGAGUUGCCGGGUGUGCCUCCCGAGAGGCAGGUGGAGUUUCGUAUCGAUUUGGUUCCCGGGGCUGCGCCUAUCGCCAAGGCGCCGUAUCGGCUAGCACCGCCAGAGAUGCAGGAGUUAUCCUCACAGCUGCAAGAGCUGUUGGGGAAAGGGUUCAUCCGUCCCAGUAGCUCUCCCUGGGGAGCGCCGAUCCUUUUUGUCAAGAAAAAGGAUGGUUCACACCGGAUGUGUAUUGAUUACCGGGAGUUGAACAAGUUGACGGUCAAGAACCGUUAUCCGUUACCGAGGAUCGACGAUCUAUUUGAUUAGUUGCAGGGGGCGUCUUGGUUCUCCAAGAUUGAUUUGAGAUCGGGAUAUCACCAGAUAAGAGUUUGGGAUGAGGAUAUCCAGAAGACGACGUUUAGGACUCGUUACGGGCAUUAUGAGUUCAUGGUGAUGCCAUUCGGGCUCACCAAUGCACCAGCGGCGUUCAUGGAUCUCAUGAACAGGGUGUGUAGGCCGAUGUUGGAUCGUUCGGUGAUUGUUUUCAUUGAUGACAUCCUAGUGUAUUCGAGGACCAGAGAGCAGCAUGUGGAACAUUAGAGGGAGCUCCUCGGAAUCCUGAGAUCGGAGAGGCUCUUUGCCAAAUUCUCCAAUUGUGAUUUCUGGUUAUGGGAAGUCCAGUUUUUAGGGCAUCUCGUUAACCAGAACGGGAUAUUGGUUGACCCAGCCNGCCAAGAUUGAGGUUGUGAUGAGUUGGGAGGUGCCGAGGUCACCUACGGAGAUCAUGAGCUUCUUGGGGCUGGCAGGCUACUAUAGGAGAUUUAUCAGAGAUUUCUCCAAGAACGCCGUGCCACUUACCAAGUUGACCCGGAGGGGUGUUACUUUCUCAUGGGGUCCGGCGCAGCAAACCCCGUUUGAGACCCUUCGUUAGAGAUUGUGCGAAGCUCCUGUACUCGCACUACCGGAAGGGAUGGAGGAUUUCGUGGUGUAUUGUGAUGCUUCGAUAUUGGGGAUGGGAGCGGUGUUGAUGCAGAGAGGGCAUGUGAUCGCGUAUGCAUCGAGGCAGUUGAAGCCUCAUGAGACGAGAUAUCCCACCCACGAUUUGGAGUUGGGGGCUGUAGUGUUUGCCCUCAAGAUCUGGCGUCACUAUCUGUAUGGGGUUCGGUGUACGAUAUACACUGACCACAAGAGCUUAAAGUACUUGAUGGAUCAGCCAAACCUGAAUAUGCGCCAGAGGAGAUGGUUGGAUGUGGUGAAGGAUUAUGAUUGUGAGAUCCUGUACCACCCGGGCAAGGCUAAUGUCGUAGCCGAUGCUUUGAGCCGUAGGUCGGAGAGCGCCCCGAUCCGAGACAUUUGUAUGAGGUUGACGGUGAUGACUCCGGUAUUGGACACCAUCCGAGGGGCCCAGGCUGAGGCUGCGAGACCAGAGAACCGAAAGCGGGAGCGGGUUGUUGGGCAGGUGUCGGAGUUCGUUACCGAUAGUCGGGGGCUUAUGACGUUUCAGGGUCGGAUUUGGGUACCGUUUGUGGGCGGGACGCGUACCAUUUUGAUGGAGGAGGCGCAUCGAUCGAAGUUCUCGAUCCAUCCCGGGGCUACCAAGAUGUAUUUGGACCUAAAGAAGGAGUAUUGGUGGCCCUGUAUGAAGAGGGAUGUUGCUUGGUUCGUCGAGAGGUGCCUAACUUGUCGCCAAGUUAAGGCCGAGCACCAGCGUCCGCAUGGUAAGCUGCAGCCGUUGGAGAUUCCCGAGUGGAAGUGGGAACAGAUUACCAUGGAUUUUAUCACCAAAUUGCCAAGGACUGCGAGAGGAGUCGAUGCAAUUUGGGUGAUUGUGGACAGGUUGACGAAGAGCGCUCAUUUUCUUGCUAUCAGUGAGAGCUCUUCUGCUGAGAGGUUGGCAGAGUUGUAUGUGAGGGAGGUGGUAUCGCGGCAUGGGGUUCCGUUGUCGAUCGUUUCGGAUCGAGACGUGCGAUUUACUUCCAGAUUUUGGAAGAAGUUCCACGAGGAGUUAGGUACGAGGCUGCAUUUCAGUACCGCAUACCACCCGCAGACGGACGGACAGAGCGAGCGGACGAUUCAGACGCUUGAGGAUAUGCUCCGAGCAUGCGUUUUGGAUUUUGGAGGGAGUUGGGACACCUAUCUACCCUUGGCAGAGUUUUCGUACAACAACAGCCAUCAUUCGAGCAUCGGUAUGCCACCUUUUGAGCUGUUGUAUGGGAGGAGAUGUCGUACCCCUAUUUGCUGGGGUGAGGUAGGGCAACGCGUGAUGGGUAGUACGGAGAUAGUGCUUCAGACGACUGAGCAGAUCCAGCAGGUCAGGCAGAGGUUGUUGACCGCUCAGAGUCGCCAGAAGAGUUAUGCAGAUAGACGUCGAACCGAGCUCGAGUUCCAGGUCGGUGAUUAUGUUCUCCUGAAGGUAUCUCCUUGGAAAGGAGUGAUCCGAUUCAGGAAGAGGGGCAAGCUAGGGCCCCGGUAUAUUGGGCCGUUUCGAGUGAUCGCGAGGGUGGGCAGGGUAGCAUAUCGCUUGGAGCUACCCGCGGAAUUGGAGCGGAUUCAUAAUACCUUCCAUGUGUCUCAGUUGAGGAAGUGUAUAGCCGACGAGUCGGCGGUAGUGCCGUUAGAGGACAUUCAGGUGGAUGCGAGCCUGAACUACGCGGAGAGACCAGUUGCGAUUGUGGAUCGAAAGAUCAAGGUUCUGCGGAACAAGGAGGUGCCCUUGGUUUUGGUUCAGUGGCAACAUCGGAAGGGGUCCGAGAUGACUUGGGAACCGGAGCGUGAGAUGCGUGAGCAGCAUCCGGAGUUAUUUGCAGAGCGAGACUUCGAGGGCGAAGUCUAGUUCUAGUGGGGGAGAAUUGUAACAGCCCGGAUUCCCAGGUAUUAUUCAUUUAUUUAUUUUGGUAAUUUGUGAGGAGACUCGGCGAGUUGGAGCCUAGACUCGCCGAGUAUGAUCGCGGAUUUGGACGCGGGUUCGCGUCCGGACUCGGCGAGUCCACGCUGUUUAAUGAAACCCUAAUUUCUCGGGUUUGAGGCAUAUUUAAAGGGCCUUAUGGCCGUCAUUUGCACUCAUCAGUCCCCAGAGUGAAACCCUAGAGCAAUUGAGUGAUUUAAGUGAGGGAAGGAGCCAUUAUUGAUCUUGGAGUUGUUGUCUAGCAAGGAAAGAGGAGAUCUAGCCAAGAGGAAGCAAGAGAGGGGUGGAUUCUUGAAGAUUUGAGGUCCAUAACAUCACAUCUGAGGUACAAUCCCGAAUCAUUCUCUGUUAUUGUGAUGUUCAUGUAGAUUUAGGGCUUUUGAACCCAUUUGUGGCUAGAUCUAGUGUCCUCAUGGUCCCUUAGCGAGUUAAGGUCCUGGAUUUGGACCCAUAGAGGUCCAGAGCACCUCAUUACCAAAGCUUUAUAUGCAUCCAUGGAGGUUUUGGAUUGGGAUCAAUGUAUUUGAGGCUAAAACACCAUUCAUGAGUUAUUCAAUGCUUGAUGAGCAUCAAGACUUGGACUUUACGUGGUCAAUAAGCUUAGGGAUAUUGGAUCUAUGAGUUAGUGAAGCGGAUCUGACCUCAGAAGGUCGUUUAGGGUUGUGCAUGGAAUGCACUCGCCGAGUCCAUUCCCCAGACUCGGCGAGUUGGUGUGGGUUGUUCAACGAUUACGAACCAGGGGUUGAGUAACCUAGUCGGGUGAGUGACUCGGUGAGUCGAAAGAGAUUCAGAGGGAUCGGGUUCCCGUAGGAACUCGGCGAGUCCACGCCAGACUCGGCGAGUCGGGUUGACCGUUGACCGUUGACCAUUGACUGGUUUGACUUCGUGGUAAUAGUCAGCCAGAGUCAAGUAGUAUUAAGUAGAAAUAUGUUUGUAUUGUAGGAAGACGAUAGCUCGGGAGGUCGAGCACUAGUGGUUAAGAGAUUUACGAGUUACCGAGACACGCGAGGUGAGUCUUCUCACUAUACGUUACCUUGAGUGGUAUUCUGGUUUGGCCAGAGGGUCUUAUGUGCUAUUUAUGAGAUUGUAUGCUAUGUGUUAUUUGUAUGCUGUAUGACUAUAUGGACCGGACCGGAGGGUCCAACGAUUCAGAACGGGCCAGAGGGCCCAAUGAGCUAUGAGUGGACCAGAGGGUCCAAGGAGCUGCGGGACUGGAGGGUCCCACUGAGACAUCUUGACCAGAGGGUCGGUUUUAUCCCCGAAUGGCGUAUUUGUGGUAUGUGGUAUUUUGGGGAACUCACUAAGCAUUAUGCUUACAGUUGUUGUGUUUGAUGUCUUAGGUACCAGCGAGGACCGUGGGAAGGCGGCGGCUUGACUCGUACACACUCACACCGAUGAAGUUCACAUUUGAGAGAUCUUGGGAAUUUGUUUUGAAAACACUGUUGUUUCAGAUUUGAAAUUAUGAUAUGAUAUACAUUUGGUGGUUUUAAAAAUUAAAAAUUUAAUUGGAAUUUUACGUUGUUACACAGGAAGUUGGCAGACUUAGUUAAUCUGUCGACGAUUACCCAGAUAGUGUCAUGGCCACUUGGGGUCUUGGGUAAUUUGGUAAUGACGUCCAUUGUGAUUCGUUCCCACUUUCACUCAGGUAUUUCUGGCUGUUGAAGUAGACCUGAGGGCUUUUGAUAUUCCACCUUCACCUUGGCGCAAGUCAGACACUUGCCCACGAAGAUAGCAAUUUCUUCUUUCCUGUUUGGCCACCAAUAGAGCUUUUUGAGAUCCAGAUACAUCUUAUCCGAACCUAGGUGAACGGAAUAUCUAGUCCAGCGAGCUUCGUUCAUGACAACCUCCCUGUAACCGCCGUACUUUGGGGUCUAGAUCCGGUUCAUGAAAUAAUAAACUCCGUCUCCCUUGAUUUCUAAGUUCUUUUCCUUUCCCCUCAAGGCUUCAUCCAACAUGUUCUCUGGUUUCAAGGCUUCCAGCUGAGCCUCUCUGAUUUGUGUGGACAGAUGGGAAUGGAUGGUCAUUGUAAGUGCCUUCACUCUGUAACUUGAAUACUCUUUCCGGCUAAGGGCAUCUGCUACCACAUUGGCCUUGUCGGGAUGAUAGCGUAUUUUGCAAUCAUAAUCGUUGAGUAGUUCUACCGGUCGCUGUUGUCUCAUGUUCAACUCCUUUUGUAAAAAAUGUGUUGAAGGCUUUUAUGGUCGGUGAAGAUGGUGCACUUGGUUUCGUAGUAUGUCUCCAAAUAUUUAAUUCGAAGACCACUGCUCCUAACUCCAGAUCAUGAGUUAUAUAAUUGACUUCGUGAGCUUUCAGCUAUCUCGAGGCAUAAGCAAUGACUUUUCCUCGCUGCAUAAGCACACAGCCUAGCCCUUGAUUGGAUGCAUCGCAGUAGACCACGAAGUCCUCUAUCUCUUCUGGAAGAGACAAGAUAGGUGUGUUGCAUAGGGCCUGCUUCAAUGUUUGGAACAUAGUGUCUUGAUUUUCUCCUCAACUAAAGGUUACACCUUUCCGAGUCAAGGCGGUAAGAGGCUUAGAAAUCCUGGAGAAAUUCUAGAUAAACCUGCGAUAGUAGCCGGCAAGACCCAAGAAUUGACGGAUUUCUGCGGGUGUCUUCGGUGCUGACCAAUUCUCGAUCACUUUAAUUUUGGAAGGGUCCACGUGUAUGCCUUCUUCGUUAACCACGUGACUGAGGAAAGUUACUUUUCUGAUCCAGAAUUCGCACUUUGAGAAUUUUGCAUAUAGUUUUUCCGCCCUUAGAGUUUCUAGCACUUGCCUCAAAUGUUGUCUGUGAUCUUCCUCACUCUGAGAAUAGACAAGUAUAUCAUCUGUGAAUACUAUCACGAACUUGUCUAGGAAGGGGCGGCAUACCCGAUUCAUCAGAUCCAUGAAUACCACAAGUGUGUUGGUUAGACCGAAGGGCAUUACUACAAACUCGUAGUGACCAUAUCGAGUCCGAAAUGGUGUCUUAGGAACAUCACCCUCAUGGACUUGUAAUUGAUGGUACCUUGAUCUCAGGUCUAUCUUUGAGAAGUAGCUGGCUCCUUGGAGUUGAUCGAAGAGGUCGUCGAUUCUGGGUAGGGGUAACGGUUUUUGAUGGUAAGCUUGUUCAGUUCGCGAUAAUCUAUGCACAUUCGAAAGGAACCAUCCUUCUUUUUCACAAAUAAGACCGGGGCUCCCCAGGGUGAGGAACUUGGUAUGAUGAAUCUCUUGUUGAGUAGUUCAUUGAGCCGGCAGGGUAACUCUUGCAUUUCUGCCGUCGCUACAUGGUAAGGGGAUUUGGCUAUGGGGGUAGCUCCAGGGAUUAAGUUGAUUCAAAACUCGACUUGGCGCUCGGGAGGAAUUCCAGGAAGAUCUCCGGGGAAAACAUCAGGAAAGUUGCAGACUUCGGGGAUGCUCUUGAGGUCUUUAACUUCCUAUUUUUUGUUAACGACAUGGGCUAGGAAUGGAUGACACUCAUUUUGAUGUGUUUUGAGCAUUCUAACACUCCUAUGGUGUACAUGCAACCCUAUAAACCUUGGAUCUAUGUUUUCUCUAUUAUACAUGCAAAUAUUAAAUAUUCCAAGGUUUCAUCCUAACUAGGAUAUUAUGAAGCACCUAUACUACAAAGUUCUAGUUAGAUGACAUACCUUUUGAUGUAGCUUGAUGUCUUUAAGCUUUAAUAGCUUAGCCCCAAUAGUGUGGAAGCCCCAAGUGAAAUCACAAAUCACCAAAACACCAUGGAAGAACUUGAGAGAAUAUGUAUGCACACUAAAAUUGGCCCACUCUUAUGUCCUCACACACUAGUGCCAUUUCUUAUGCCAAAGGCUCUUUAUAUAGUAUGGAGGAUUAGGGUUACAUCCAUGUAAACCCUAAUACCCAUGACCUUUCAUUUCAUAGGAUCCAUGGGUUAAAACUCCAUGGACUAUCCAUGAUAGCUUAGCCCAACCUAAAUGAACUUGGCCCAUUCCAUAUAUAUAUAUAUAUAUAUAUAUAUAUAUAUAUAUANNNNNNNNNNNNNNNNNNNNNNNNNNNNNNNNNNNNNNNNNNNNNNNNNNNNNNNNNNNNNNNNNNNNNNNNNNNNNNNNNNNNNNNNNNNNNNNNNNNNNNNNNNNNNNNNNNNNNNNNNNNNNNNNNNNNNNNNNNNNNNNNNNNNNNNNNNNNNNUGAAGUGCAACCCAAAUGGACCAUGCCGAGUCGGGUCAAGUACAUACCAAAUAUAGUUAUGGACUUAGACUUUAAUCCAACAGUCUCCCACUUGGAUAAGUCUAAAACUAUUAUUGAGUAUGACUUCAAAUCCUAACUGACAAUCGUAGCUCUUAAAUCCGCUGUCGAACUCUGAUCUUUGCCAAUGAAUUUUCCAUUAGAUGAGCGAUCAUAUAUUUAUCCAUUCUAGAUAUCAUAUGGACUGAGACAUGGAUUAUAAUCAUUCUCUCUUUCCAUUUGUUGUUUUCGCGAUUUCCGAUUCAUGACGACUGACUGAUUGAACAAAUCAAAUCAGUCCUGGUUUGGCCAAGCACUCACAUGUGUCAUCAUUAAAUCAUCGAGGGACCCACAUAUAUCACUGUUAUCCCGAAGGUAAAUGGAAUGGAUAAACUUCGACUCGUAUGGCUUGUUCUACUACUUGUUGAAUCAUACACAAAGGCAAGUUUUAUAACAUCGAGUUACCGAAUGCGGUUUCGAGCAAUCAAUGUACAACCAACUCAUAGUAACAACUCAUAUCUCUAGGUUUGAAGAAUAUAAGAUAUUAUCGUCUCAUGAUCACUCGUGAUAAAAUCCAUGAUGUGAUUCAAAUGUGCGCGGGUUGAAUCCAAUACUCAGAACUUAUGAGCACUCAUGAAUGUUGUAGCACAACUUUGUCCACCAACUUGGACCUCAACAAGCUAACCCAUGAUAGUCUUGAUUAAUAUCUACUUCCAAAAUAUGAACGACUGUGGAUGGUUUGAAUAACUUAGCCAUUCCGGAAGAAUAACCUAGUUAUUAUGGAAGUCAAAACAUGAAAAGUGAAACACAAGAAUAAAUGAAUCUAAUAUGGUAUCAAAACCUAUGAAUAUAAAUAAAACACUUUCUAUUUAUCACCAUACUGAUUACUCAUUAUUCAUUGUUUCGGUUUUAUCAACUUUAUACUUGAAUUAAAAACUAGGUGUCCCAUGCUCCAAGCAUGUACACUAUGUUUUCUAAACAAUAGCUUUACCAUACACCAAGUAUGAACUCUAUGUUUGUCUAUGAUCCUUUUCUUUGUGAGCUAGAUCAAUUAAACAUAAUUUCAAUGAUUUUCUUUUCACACUCGCAAAUCCUUGUCUUAAAUGUAAGAAUUCCAAAUUCCUAUCAUUUAUCGAAAUCUGUUUAGAUUUUAAACUUAUAUGCACUGUUCCUCUUGUAAUGAUUAUGCAUAAAGCCACAACAAUCAUUACAAAGUAUCCCAAUGGAGAGAAAUUCCAUGGAAACGAUGUCUGAGAUUCAAAGCCCAUUGCUUUGAACAUGCUUCUUGCAUUAAGUUUCUUUAACCUUACACAGAUUGCUUCCACCUAUGAAGACAACUCUAUAUUACCAUUUUGACUACCACUCCUGAACAAGAGUUGUCUCUUUUCAGACUAUGUCAAUAUGGUCCUUCCAAUAUUAACAGUAUACUUCCAACUGUCCUUGAGUAGCCAAAUCUUUGGUAAAACUUAGAUUGUCCUCGACAAUUGCUUAAUCACUUUUGUCAUAUCCAAUUCUCGACAUUUUCCUCCUUAAUGCCCCAAGGCAUUUGGAAAAUUCAGAAAUAAUAAAUAUUAUAGCACAUGUAAUCGAUCUUGUACCCAAAGUAAAUGGGACACGAUUCAUGAUGUUUCACAUAAAGACAUGGUUCUAGACCAUGCUUUUGCCAUAAUAAUUUUUUGUUUGCCAUAUUCUCAAAAUUUGACUAUGAAAAAGGAUGUCGUAAUCAUAAUCGAAUUUUGAGAACGCAAUAUAUAGAAUUUUCUUAAGUUGAACCAAUCCAACAUGAAAUUCAUGUGUGUNUAUUCUUGACUAAAGGUGAUUAAAAUCUCAAUAUAAGCUCUUUAGAAUGAUUAUAAACUCAAUCUAAGCUUUUCAUAAUUGAAAUGAAGUAUAAUUUCCUCUCCCUUAAUUAUAGCAAAACAACUUUUCAACCCCUGCAACCUCACGAAUUGAAACUUUUUUUUUCUAUAAUUAACAUUGCUAACUUGCAAUACUUACCAUAAUUAUCAUGAUCCCACUAACAUGAUGAUUAUUAGCAUAACACUUAUGCUCCCACUAGCUUUGACAUGUAUCCAGAAAAUAGCUGGACCUCUAGAAGUCAAUACUUUAUUGACAUUCUUACCAAAGUUCAGAUGUUCUGAUACUAGAAGACUUUAUCAAAAUCAUACACCUUAUCUUAGAUAGAUCACAGGUGUGUCUAAACAAUUUCAGAACUGUGAAAAGGGAUGCCGUAAUCAUAGUCUCAAUUGUUUAGACUUUUUUCCAUUUCUCAUAAGUCAAUGUUAGUGUGUCGGUUAACCACACAGGCUCCACUAACGACUUUGAGAAUUGCAAAUAUCACAAUUGCUAUCUACUUAAAAUCUACUUAGUGAAAGAAUUUCCUCACCAUCAUUUUCAUGAAUCGGAGAGAAACCUUAUGAAACUUAGAUUUUAUGGUGUAUGUGGUCUUAUCCAUGUGAAUUUUUCAAACCAUAAUCACAAGACUAGGUUAGUGACAAAUCCUAACUCAUAUGGAUUGAACUUUGUGCAAUCUUAACUUCUUGCCACCUGGCAGCUCAAGGGCCUACCAUUGCUUCCAAGUAUCUAUGCAAGCAAUUGAGAACAUGUAGAACUCAAAUGUAUAGCCAACUUAACUGGAAUGGGCACAAAAAUGUCAACACGAUAGGUUAUAAACCUCUAGUUGUGUGCUAGCGAUGAAAUACAAGUUUUUAUUCUUGAUUAGUUCUUGAAACCAUUUCAGGAUCUUUUAGACUCCCACUGUCUUCUUGACCAAUGAGACAUUCUUGUCAAAUAUUCAAGAGAUAGUGUGGAUUCUAAUCAAGAUAAACACUUAACACAAUUGGUCUUAGUUGGUCUUUGUUUUAUCCAAAACACCACAGCUUACCUACCAAUUUCAAAUGUACAAGAGUAGGACACUUUUACUAUUACAUUUGACAAGUGUUUUAAACCUUUCUUUAAGAUAUGUCACUCAACUCACAGUCUUGGAGUAUGACUCUAAGACUUGUUUUGGAACGAAGUAUGACUCAUCUUAUUGAUUUAACCAUUCCAACAAUUCAAGGUUCCUCUUCUUAGCUAUCAGAAUGCACUUAGAGGAUGAAUUGUGAUAAGGUCUCUUAAUCAUUAAGAUACUCAUAUAGCAUGAUACUAAAGUACUCUCCCAUCUUUUCAGAUUUGAGAAACUUUUAUCCAUCUACCUAAUUUGAUUCUUCUCAUUCGUUCUGCAAAACAUUGAAAAAUUUUCAAUGUUUCAGAAUUAUACUUAUGCUAGUAAGUAUAAUCAUAUUUACUAAACCUUCGUAAAUCAUGAUGAAUAGUCUUAUCCAUCUUUUGUGGUAGACUUUGACAAGUUCACCAGAAAGUGUACUUGAUCCCUUAGUCCUUCUCUUGAGUCACAUAUACAUGUGACCACGAAACUAGUCUUAAUUUUCCAAAGUUGAAAAUUCUCAUACAUCACACUAAACACCUUGUAUGAUUCCAAGUUUCGGUCCAAUUGAAACUUGGGUGAUGAGAAUCUUUCCUUACUUGGUAAAUUUAGACACUACCACAAAUGAAAGAAUCAAGUUCAUUUUUCCAAUGUUGCUAGAAACAUACAGACAUCAAGUUUUCAUAAAUGCCAUUGUAAAGAGAUAUAAAAUAAAGUAAAACAAAUUUUUUUUUAUUUAUCAAAAUGCGGAAAAACUUUUCCCUUACAAUGCAACUUUAAAUGAAAACAAUGCUAUUACAUGUUUCCUAGCAAUCUAUCAUAACUCCUAAGAGUAGCUCAAGAAUCCAAUCUUCAAUCAAGCGAUAGAAAUCCAUCUUCGCAAUCAGAUCAACAUACUCUUUCUUUAAGUUUCCUUCACUUUUCCUUUGAUUCUUAAAACAUCAACAUGUGACCCAGUCACAUCAUGUAAUAAGAAUCUCAGAAUAGAAACUUAAUCAAGUUAGAUAGUGGAAUUUACCUGAAGUAGAGUCAAACUUAUUGACUUUACUAGCCUUAUGAUCUUUCAAGUAAAUUUGGCAGCUGCGCAACCAAUGCCAUUUCCUUUUGGCACUUUAGCAUAUGGACCCUUUGGUAAUGGUACAUGGAGCUAUCAUAGACUUAGUUUUUUCUCUUUACCAUUUGGUCAACCGAGUUGACUAUGGCCUAUCGCUUUCCAUUGGGAUGAGAAUGCUUUUUAUGGAUUUCCAGUGACACCAUUGUCAAUGUCCAUAAUUUUUUGGGAAGUCGAUCUUCUAAUCAAAUUUUCUUUACUAGCAUUCCAAAUCAUUGCUGAUUCAGCAACACCAAGCAAAUAAUCAUUAAGGGUCUUGUCAUAGUCUGUUUCAUAGUAGUCCAAAAAGAACUUAGAAAGUGAUUGAACCACCAACUUUCUCAAGACUUUGACACCCAACUCUCCAGGCUUGUCAAUAUGUGACUUCAUCUCCAAGAUGUGAUCACACCUAGACCUUGCCUUGCCAAUAGGAAUUGAGUGGCCUUGAACUUGUGGGUUAGGGAGAAUAUUUGAAGGAGGUGGAGGAAGUGAAGUUCCAAUAGAUUUAGGAGGAUCAUAGAUGUCUGAACCAGACAUCUUUUUGGGAGAUAUUCAAUAUAGUUGAUCUAAAGACCUUAAUAUAACACCCAAUAUGAAAUAUUAAGGGUAAGACCCGGCAAACUAUUUUAUAACUUGGAAGAGGGAUGUAGUAAUCCAAGCUAUAAAAUAUUUGAAGGUAGGUGAAUGACAAUUCACCAAUUUCCACCAAGAUAAACGAAAUGUAUUAUUAGGUUUUAAUUGGUUUUGAAACUCCUAGAUCUUU